rnacentral:rRNA from 1 species
CCCUUAGAUGUUCUGGGCGGCCCGCGCACUACAAUGGCGUGUGCAGCGAGUGCCGAAGUAGAGUUUUCCGAGGUAUUCUUGCAAUGCUCGUUUUGAUGGGGAUAGACCCUUGCAACUGUUGGUUUUGAACGAGGAAUUCCUUGUAAGCACGGUUUAUCAUCCGACGCUGAAUGCGUCCCUGCCCUUUGUACACACCGCCCGUCGCUCCUACCGAUGAGUCGUCCGGUGAAGUUCGUAGACCUCGUGAUCGCGGAUCACUGGGGGAAGCAAAAUGAACCUCGCGGUUUAGAGGAAGGAGAAGUCGUAACA